rnacentral:ncRNA from 1 species
CUUUGCACACGCGGGAGCUCGGAGCACCGGGCUGAGAGGGCGCUGACCUCCGUCGACGCACCACCGGACGUAUAUGCGGGACAUAUACGCGCCGAGGGUGCCGGUCACGGGAAUCGCUGCGUCGACCGCCGAACCUGUUACCGGGUAAUGCCGGCGUAGGGAGUAGGUCUUCAUGACCG